UACGAAGGGGGCUAGCGUUGUUCGGAAUUACUGGGCGUAAAGGGCGCGUAGGCGGGGUGUCAAGUCAGGCGUGAAAGCCCCGGGCUCAACCUGGGAACCGCGCUUGAGACUGGCACGCUAGAGUUCGGGAGAGGAUGGUGGAAUUCCCAGUGUAGAGGUGAAAUUCGUAGAUAUUGGGAAGAACACCGAUGGCGAAGGCAGCCAUCUGGACCGACACUGACGCUGAGGCGCGAAAGCGUGGGGAGCAAACAGG
rnacentral:rRNA from 1 species